rnacentral:rRNA from 1 species
AUUGAACGCCGUCGGCAGGCCUAACACAUGCAAGUCGGGCGAGCGGCGGCCCGGUGAGUAAUCCCUGGGGCACUGCCUGAUGGAGGGGGAUGACUAUUGGAAACGGUAGCUAAUACCGCAUACCAUCAGAUGACCCCAUAGGGGAUUAGCGGGUAGGUAAGGUGACGGCGUACCUAGUCGACGAUCCCUAGCUGGUCUGAGAGGAUGAUCAGCCACAUUGGGACGGAGACACGGUCCAGACUCCUACGGGAGGCAGCAGUGGGGGAUAUUGCACAAUGGGCGCAAGCCUGAUGCACCCAUGCGGAGUGUAGGAAGAAGGCCUUCGGGUUGUAAAGUACUUUCAGUCGGGAGGCGUUACCGACAGAAGAAGCGCCGGCUAACUCCGUGGCAGCAGCCGCGGUAAUAC